UACGGAGGGGGCGAGCGUUAUUCGGAAUUAUUGGGCGUAAAGGGCGCGUAGGCGGCCUUGUAAGUCAAAGGUGAAAUCCCUCGGCUCAACUGAGGAACUGCCUUUGAAACUGCAAGGCUUGAGGCCGGGAGGGGGUAGCGGAAUUCCCAAUGUAGCGGUGAAAUGCGUAGAUAUCAGGAAGAACACCCGUGGCGAAGGCGCUCUGCUGGACCAUAACUGACACUCAGGGACGAAAGCUAGGGGAGCGAAUGGG
rnacentral:rRNA from 1 species